rnacentral:rRNA from 1 species
AUUUAGAGGAAGUAAAAGUCGUAACAAGGUUUCCGUAGGUGAACCUGCGGAAGGAUCAUUAAAAAAAGAGAAACGUCCCGUUUUUUUCAUAAGAAUGGGUUCUAUUCCCUUAAACCGUGUCUACAUACCUUUGUUGCUUUGGCAGGCCGCCUUCGGGCGUCGGCUCCGGCUGAUAGUGCCUGCCAGAGGACCCAAACUCUAUGUUUAGUGAUGUCUGAGUACUAUAUAAUAUUUAAAACUUUCAACAACGGAUCUCUUGGUUCUGGCAUCGAUGAAGAACGCAGCGAAAUGCGAUAAGUAAUGUGAAUUGCAGAAUUCAGUGAAUCAUCGAAUCUUUGAACGCACAUUGCGCCCCUUGGUAUUCCGAGGGGCAUGCCUGUUCGAGCGUCAUUAUAACCACUCAAGCCUGGCUUGGUAUUGGGGCUUUCGCGUGUUCGCGGCCCUUAAAAUCAGUGGCGGUGCCGUCUGGCUCUAAGCGUAGUAAUUUCUCUCGCUAUAGGGUUCCGGUGGUUACUUGCCAAAACCCCCCAUUUUUUCUAGGUUGACCUCGGAUCAGGUAGGGAUACCCGCUGAACUUAAGCAUAUC